GUGCGAUUUUGUGAUAAUAAUCGCCUAAAACGCAAACUGUUUUGGAAGAUCAUGGAAUUUUGUGACGAAACGUGAAAGAAAUAAGUUGUUAUUUUGGCAUUCAGUUCUCAAGUGAGGAUUAUGUUGCAAGUGUCUUGUGUUAUGUAGUUUUAGUAUGUUGGAUUAGAUUUUAGUGGCUACUUGUUGCAGUAGCAUGUUAAACUUUGUUUGUUAAAUUCUAUUACGUUUUUAUUAUGAUUGGGUGGUUUUUGUAAGGGUGCUCUAUUAAACAUUGAUCACAAUUUCUUCAGCUUAAUUGUUUAGUAUACCAAUAUUUAUUGAGAAAUUAGCAUUUCUUCUGCACCCCCAUCUAGCUUAAGCUAGGAGGGCUGCACACCCCUCUCUUAUAUCCAUCUCUUAAUAAAUUUGUCAUUAAAUUUUUUAAAUGUAAA